rnacentral:rRNA from 1 species
GACGAACGCUGGCGGCGUGCCUAAUACAUGCAAGUAGAACGCUGAAGGAGGAGCUUGCUCUUCUGGAUGAGUUGCGAACGGGUGAGUAACGCGUAGGUAACCUGCCUGGUAGUGGGGGAUAACUAUUGGAAACGAUAGCUAAUACCGCAUAAUAACAGUUGUUGCAUGACAACUGUUUGAAAGUUUCAAUUGCAUCACUACCAGAUGGACCUGCGUUGUAUUAGCUAGUUGGUGGGGUAACGGCUCACCAAGGCGACGAUACAUAGCCGACCUGAGAGGGGGAUCGGCCAAACUGGGACUGAGACAAGGCCCAGAAUCCUACGGGAGGCAGCAGUAGGGAAUCUUCGGAAAUGGACGAAAGUCUGAACGAGCAACGCCGCGUGAGUGAAGAAGGUUUUCGGAUCGUAAAGCUCUGUUGUAAGAGAAGAACGAGUGUGAGAGUGGAAAGUUCACACUGUGACGGUAUCUUACCAGAAAGGGACGGCUAACUACGUG